rnacentral:rRNA from 1 species
GAUGAACGCUAGCGGUGUACCUUAGGCAUGCAAGUCGAACGGGUCCGAUUUAUCGGACCAGUGGCAGACGGGUGAGUAACACGUAGGAAUCUACCUUGUAGUGGGGAAUAGCUCCGCGAAAGCGGAGGUAAUACCGCAUGUGAUCGCAAGAUCAAAGGCCUUCGGGUCGCUAUGAGAGGAGCCUGCGGACUAUCAGCUAGUUGGUAAGGUAAUGGCUUACCAAGGCAAUGACGGUUAGCCGAUGUGAGAGCAUGAUCGGCCACAAGGUUACUGAGACACGGAACCUACACCUACGGGUGGCAGCAACCGGGAAUUUUGCGCAAUGGACGAAAGUCUGACGCAGUGACACCGCGUGUGGGAAGACGCUUUUCGGAGUGUAAACCACUGUGGCGAGUGAAGAAUUUUUGACUGUAACUCGCUAGAAAGCACUAGCUAACCACGUGCCAGAAGCUUCGGUAAUACGUGGAGUGCGAGCGUUAUCCGGAUUUACUGGGCGUAAAGGGUCCGUCGGCGUCUUGGAAAGUUUUCUGUUUAAGCCUGGGGCUCAACUCCAGAAAGGCAGGAAAAACUCCCGAGAUAGAGUUUGUUUGAGGAAACUGGAAUUCUAAAUGGAGGGGUGAAAUCCGUAGAUAUUUAGAGGAACGCCAAGCGCGAAGGCAAGUUUCUAAAACAUAACUGACGCUCAGGGACGACAGCUUAGGGAGCAAAAGGGAUUAGAGACCCCUGUAGUCUAAGCCGUAAACGCUGUUCGCUAGUUCCCUGUUUUUCAGGGACCAUCAGUAGAUCUACUACUGGUGAUUCAUGAGAGGUGGGGGACGUAAGGUAACCCGUUAAGCGAACCGCCUGGGGAGUACGACCGCAAGGUUAAAACUCAAAGGAAUUGACGGGGAAGAGCACAACCGGUGGAGCAUGUGGUUUAAUUCGAGACAAAGCGAAAAACCUUACCCAGGUUUGACAUGUACCUGCACGAUCUAGGAAACUAGGUCUUCUUCGAGAGUGGUACACAGGUGAUGCAUGGCUGUCGUCAGUUUGUGUCGUGAGACGCCCACUUAAGUGUGGCAACAAACGCAACCCUUGCCGUAUGUUAUACGUGUCAUACGGGACUGCCCUGCUUAUAGCGGGGAGGAAGGAGAGGACGACGUCAAGUCAGCACGUCCCUUACAUCUGGGGCUACACACAUCCUACAAUGGAGCCGACAACAGGUAGCGAAGCCGUAAGGCUGAGCCAAUCCUCCAAACGGCCCCUCAGUUCGGAUUGAAGGCUGCAACUCGCCUUCAUGAAGCCGGAAUCGGUAGUAAUCGCAAAUCAGCAGGUUGCGGUGAAUACGUUCUCUCUUCUU